GACGAACGCUGGCGGCGUGCUUAACACAUGCAAGUCCAACGCUGAAGCUCAGCUUUUGUUGGGUGGAUGAGUGGCGAACGGGUGAGUAACACGUGAGUAACCUGCCCCCUUCUUUGGGAUAACGCCCGGAAACGGGUGCUAAUACUGGAUAUUCACUGGUCUUCGCAUGGGGGUUGGUGGAAAGGGUUUUUCUGGUGGGGGAUGGGCUCGCGGCCUAUCAGCUUGUUGGUGGGGUGAUGGCCUACCAAGGCUUUGACGGGUAGCCGGCCUGAGAGGGUGACCGGGCACAUUGGGACUGAGAUACGGCCCAGACUCCUACGGGAGGCAGCAGUGGGGAAUAUUGCACAAUGGGCGCAAGCCUGAUGCAGCGACGCCGCGUGAGGGAUGGAGGCCGUCGGGUUGUGAACCUCUUUCGCUCAUGGUCAAGCCGCAACAAUGGUUGUGGUGAGGGUAGUGGGUAAAGAAGCGCCGGCUAACUACGUG
rnacentral:rRNA from 1 species